UACGUAGGGUGCAAGCGUUGUCCGGAAUUAUUGGGCGUAAAGAGCGUGUAGGCGCCAGACAGGUCCGUUGUGAAAACUUGAGGCUCAACCUCGAGACGCCGAUGGAAACCGUCUGGCUAGAGUCCGGAAGAGGAGAGUGGAAUUCCUGGUGUAGCGGUGAAAUGCGCAGAUAUCAGGAAGAACACCCGUGGCUAAGGCGGCUCUCUAGUACGGUACUGACGCUGAGACGCGAAAGCGUGGGGAGCGAACAGG
rnacentral:rRNA from 1 species